AGCUCCAAUAGCGUAUGCUAACGUUGUUGCAGUUAAAAGCUCGUAGUUGGAUUUUUAAGGGUGUCAGCCUCGGGCGGCCUUCAAGUGUCGUUUCGUGGGCGAGAUUCCUCUUAUUUUGCGUCUUGGUGCGGUUGGAAUUCGUUUUCGAUCGUGCAUUAGACGCGUGUUUACUUUGAGAAAAUUAGAGUGUUCAAAACAGUCUCUUGAUUGUAUAUCAUAGCAUGGAAUAAUAACUGAUGACUUCGGUCAAUUUUUAUUGGUUUGGAUGGCUGAUGUAAUGAUUGAUAGAGUUAGUCGGAGAUACUAGUAUUUUAUCGCUAGAGGUGAAAUUCAUGGAUCGAUAAAAGACUAACAACUGCGAAAGCAUUUAUCUAGGAUUUGCUCUUUGAUCAAGAACGAAAGUUAAGCACGCUGAA
rnacentral:rRNA from 1 species